GGCAAGAUGGCCGAGUGGUCUAAGGCGCUGUGUUCAGGUGACUUCCUCCUCAUGAUCUCAUGAGGAGAGCAGUUCGCUUCGCAGUCUUCGGGCGUGGGUUCAAAUCCCACUCUUGUCA